rnacentral:rRNA from 1 species
UGCAUUGGAUUGAGAACAACGUACAAACCUUAUCGAUAAACAAUUGGAGGGCAAGUCUGGUGCCAGCAGCCGCGGUAAUUCCAGCUCCAAUAGCGUAUAUUAACGUUGUUGCAGUUAAAAAGCUCGUAGUUGAAAUGAAGGGUGGUUGUGUAAUGAAUACAUUCGUGUAUUUUGUUAUUCUACUACCCUCCUUCUAAAUUCGAUAUAUGAGUAUUAAUUUACUUGUAUAUGGUUUUAGACCUUUACUGUGAGAAAAUUAGAGUGUUCAAAGCAGGCAUUUGCUUGAAUAUAUUAGCAUGGAAUAAUCAUGUAUGAUUUUCAUGAUGUAUUUGAUUGGUUUGGUUCAUGAGAAUAAGAUUAAAAGGGACAGUUGGGGGUAUUCAUAUUCAAUAGUCAGAGGUGAAAUUCUCGGAUUUAUGGAAGAUGAACAAGUGCGAAAG